rnacentral:tRNA from 1 species
CUGGACUUAGCUCAGCUUGGUUAGAGUACGUGCCUUGGACGCACGGGGUCGUUGGUUCAAAUCCAGCAGUCCAGACCA